rnacentral:lncRNA from 1 species
AACUUAGAAUACACAUCAAUGUAAUAUUUUUGUGUUCAGUUCACCACAAAUGAAUUUACUAAAAUUCAUAAUUAUAUAAAAUUAAUAAAUUUAUUAAAAUUCAUAACUAAUAUUUUUAAAAUUUUAAUUUAUUUGUUAAUGCAAAGCGUUCAUUGCAUGGGACUUCUACUAGUACGUAGAAAUAUAAUAAAUAUACUAGUGUAGUGACUGGCACGAUGCGGCGCGUAGAUAUAUUAUAAUCGUUUAAAAUUUAAGUUUGAAAUUUUAGAUCCUUAUAUUUCUAUAAGUUAUUUUGUAGAGAGUAAAACAUAUUUAUUUUAAAAGUUUUAGCAAUUUUAAAAUACAUUGAAAAGUAUGAAGAUUUUUGUUUGACAUUUCAAUUUUUUCCACUGAAGAAUCACGAUAGGUAUCAAACCACAUCUAUUUCCGAGAACUUUAUAUAGAUGUCUUAUUAUAUAGGUAGUAACGUGUAGGUUUAAUAAAAAAUAACAUAAAAUAUAUUUAGCAAACAAAUCCCAAUAUAUAUUUAGAUUGCGCUAACUGUGGCUUUAGGCUGCGUAAUAAUUAAUUAUUUCAAAAAUUCUAAAACCUAAUAUAAACAAAUCCAUCAAAAUUUCCAACACAAUCAAAUUAUUAUACAAUGGAAGCAUUAUGAUUUGUAAACAAAUCAAAUCAUUAUACAAUAGAGAUAUUAUGAUCUGUAAAUAAAAAUAAAUAUAAAAAUUUAUAACAUAGUAAUCAAAAUACUGAAAAUGUACCAAUAAUAAAAAAAAAUAUUAAAAUUUUUAAAAAAAAUUACCUUAAAUUGGAAGAGUCGAAUCUCACGUAAUUUAAAUAUACCAUACGGUAGAAAAAUCUGAACAAACAAAUAAAACAUCAAAUUCAAAUAAAAAAAAAACUUUUCAAAUAUAGUUAAUCGUUACAGGCAGAUGCGGUCAAUUUUCUUGAGACAAAGUAAACAGUAAUUACUAUAUCAUUUGUUAUUCAUCCAAAAUGAGUAUGAGUACAACCCUUUAUUUACACUCUAAAUUGACCUUUCAUAUUCUAAGAUGACUUUUCAUUUUCUUCUAUUAAAAUAUAUCAUUUUUCAUAUUCCCAACUUUUUAAAUUCUUAGAUAUAUUAAGUUAUCCAACCUUUCAACUUCUAAUUAAUUUUUAAAAAAUAAUAAAAAAAUUUGGUAACUCGAAAGUCGGCGAAGUGGAAAAAGUCACUUUUAUAAAAGUGACUUUUCAGUUCGAUUGUUUGGUUGCUAUAAAGUAAAAAAUUAAAACUAUAAUUUUAUAUUUUUUAUUAUUAAAUUAUAUAUAAAGAGGUAAAAAUGUAAACAAACGAUUUAUACUUGCAAUUUAAAUUGAAAAUUUAAAUUUAAAUUAAUAUUUAGAAUUCAAAGUUAUAUUCUAAAAUUUAAAUUUAAACUUAAAUCUGAGUUGAAUAUAUAAUUAA